rnacentral:lncRNA from 1 species
AGGAAACCGAAUGCCAAUUGCUGGACUUACAUCAGACUCCAAGCACACAAACACAAACAGGAAACCUACUGCCAAUCGCUGGACUUAUGUCAGACUCCAAAAAAACAAACACACACAGGAAACCGAAUGCUAAUCGUUGGGCUUACAUCAGACUCCGAACAAACAAACACACACCAAAAAAGAAAAAGGGUGCCCGGAGAGAUCCC